AUCAGUUAUGGUUCCUUAGAUCGUACCACAAUUACUUGGAUAACUGUGGUAAUUCUAGAGCUAAUACAUGCAAACAGAGCUCUGACCGGAGACGGGAGGAGUGCUUUUAUUAGAUCAAAACCAAUCGGCGGCGGUAGCGUUUCGGCGUUAUCGUUCGUCGCUCAAUAAAUGGUGAAUCUGAAUAACUUUAUGCUGAUCGCAUGGUCUUGUACCGGCGACGCAUCUUUCAAAUGUCUGCCUUAUCAACUGUCGAUGGUAGGAUCUGCGCCUACCAUGGUUGUAACGGGUAACGGGGAAUCAGGGUUCGAUUCCGGAGAGGGAGCCUGAGAAACGGCUACCACAUCCAAGGAAGGCAGCAGGCGCGCAAAUUACCCACUCCCGGCACGGGGAGGUAGUGACGAAAAAUAACGAUACGGGACUCAUCCGAGGCCCCGUAAUCGGAAUGAGUACACUUUAAAUCCUUUAACAAGGACCAAUUGGAGGGCAAGUCUGGUGCCAGCAGCCGCGGUAAUUCCAGCUCCAAUAGCGUAUAUUAAAGUUGUUGCGGUUAAAAAGCUCGUAGUUGAAUUUGUGUCCCGCACUGUCGGUUCACCGCCCGCGGUGCUAACUGGCAUGUUUGCGGGACGUCCUGCCGGUGGAUGUAAGUGGGAGACUCGAAAGGGUCUUUCGCACAUCCGACUUAUGAAUCCUGUCGCGGUGCUCUUAACUGAGUGUCAUGGCGGGCCGGCACGUUUACUUUGAACAAAUUAGAGUGCUCAAAGCAGGCUAAUUAAUGCCUGAAUAAUUAGUGCAUGGAAUAAUGGAACAGGACCUUGGUUCUAUUUUGUUGGUUUUCGGAACCCCAAGGUAAUGAUUAAUAGGGACAGAUGGGGGCAUUCGUAUUGCGACGUUAGAGGUGAAAUUCUUGGAUCGUCGCAAGACGGACUAAAGCGAAAGCAUUUGCCAAAGAUGUUUUCAUUAAUCAAGAACGAAAGUCAGAGGUUCGAAGGCGAUCAGAUACCGCCCUAGUUCUGACCAUAAACGAUGCCAGCUAGCGAUCCGCCAAAGUUCCUCCGAUGACUUGGCGGGCAGCUUCCGGGAAACCAAAGCUUUUGGGUUCCGGGGGAAGUAUGGUUGCAAAGCUGAAACUUAAAGGAAUUGACGGAAGGGCACCACCAGGAGUGGAGCCUGCGGCUUAAUUUGACUCAACACGGGAAACCUCACCAGGCCCAGACACUGGAAGGAUUGACAGAUUGAGAGCUCUUUCUUGAUUCAGUGGGUGGUGGUGCAUGGCCGUUCUUAG
rnacentral:rRNA from 1 species